rnacentral:lncRNA from 1 species
UCACUAUGGCAAGAAAUACUGCUUGUUUGACCAAGUAGUUGGCCACCUAAGCAUUCUGACUUCAGGCACUGACCAAACCUCUCCAAAGAUUACCAAGAGUGCUGUGGUAUUCACUUGCUUCAAUUUGUAUUCAGAACAUACAAAGUUGACAACUUAAAGCUUUAUUGUCGGUUGCAGUAAUAUAAACAAGUACUGACAUUUAGUCAAUGUCCAUCUCAGGAAGCUUCUUCUCCGCAGCUGCUGGGGCAGGUGCAGUGCUGGGGUCAGCAGUCUGGGACCCACUGCUGCCAUCUCCCUGCCCUUCUACUGGUCCAUUCGGUUCGGUUGGUUUCUGCUCCUCCUUUGGGAGUUCAACUUUGGGUUUUGGUUUUGUAACUAUAGGAUUGCAAAUACUUGUCAAUUCUUUAGUUUUAGCUUGUAUGUCUUUAGCUUUUAUAACUGGGUCCAAAGUAAGACUUCUCUUGUUCUGAAGAUUGAGUUUGUUAUUCAUCCAUUCCAUUGCUUCAUUUGCACUUUUCUCCACUUUUGCUACAUCUGCUUCAUCCAGAUGGUCAUACUGCUCAUCCUUUGCUUUGAAGGCAUGAACAGUUUUCAUGUACUGUUGGAUUUGCUUCCCUAAGUCCUCAAAUGCUUUUGGCCUUUCCUCUGAUUCUUGAAAUCUCGCCUGAAUAGGUUGACCCAAGGCCUUCAGCUCUGUUAAUUUGUCAAUGUAAAUUUGCUUGGGUUGGUCUUCGCCAUCUUCAUAAAGCCAAUUUUCGGUAUCUUCCAGCUUCAGCGUGAAGCUAUUUCGAUCAUCUUCACUAACAAAUUUCUCAUAAAUACUGCAGAGUUUGUCUCUCAUAUCAUACACGUAUUCUUCUACUGCAUUCUUUGCAUCAUUCCUCUCCUUCUCUAGCUUAUCCUGCAUUAUCAUUUUACCCUCAUUCUCAAUGAAUAAGUUCAGCAUAUCUUUUCCUAUUUGCCACACCAACUGGUUCUCAAUGGGAAGGUCCACUGUAGUAGUCUUUACUUUAGCCUUCUUGGCUUGAGGUGGCUGAUCCACUUUCUUGUCUUUAGAGUCACCUUGAGAAGUCUCCAUUUCUUCAGACUCUGCCUUAUUUUCAGCUUGGGCCUGCUGCUGUUCUUCAGUCUUCUGCUGCUCCUCCUGGUCUACUUGCAUCUUCUCUUCCUCUUUUGCAUGCUGAUCUGUUUCCAUAGGCUCUUCAUUCUC